ensembl:misc_RNA Metazoa_SRP Metazoan signal recognition particle RNA
GCUGGGCAUAGUGGAGCGUGCCUGUAGCCCCAGCUACUGGGGAGGCUGAGGUGGGAGGAUCGCUUGAGCCCAGGAGUUCUGGGCUGUAGCGCGCUAUGCCGAUCGGGUGUCCACACUAAGUUCAACAUCAAUAUGGUGACCUCCCGGGAGCAGGGGACCACCAAUUUGCCUCAGGAGGGGUGGACCGGCCCAGGUCGGAAACAGCAGGUCAAAACUCCCAUGCUGAUCAGUAGUGGGAUCUCGCUUGUGAAUAGCCACUGCACUCAGCCUGGGCAAUAUAGCGAGACCCCAUCUCUU